rnacentral:rRNA from 1 species
AUCAACUUUCGAUGGUAGGAUAGAGGCCUACCAUGGUGACAACGGGUGACGGGGAAUUAGGGUUCGAUUCCGGAGAGGGAGCCCGAGAAACGGCUACCACAUCCAAGGAAGGCAGCAGGCGCGCAAAUUACCCAAUUCCGAUACGGAGAGGUAGUGACAAUAAAUAACAAUACAGGGUUCUUUUGGAUCUUGUAAUUGGAAUGAGUACGAUUUAAAUCUCCUAACGAGGAACAAUUGGAGGGCAAGUCUGGUGCCAGCAGCCGCGGUAAUUCCAGCUCCAAUAGCGUAUAUUAAAGUUGUUGCAGUUAAAAAGCUCGUAGUUGAAUUUCAGGCCUGGCUGGACGGUCCGCCCUUCGGGUGAGUACUGUCUGUGGUCGGGUCCUACCUUCUGGCGAAGCGUCAUGGCCUUAACCGGCCGUGGCGGGGAACCAGGACUUUUACUGUGAAAAAAUUAGAGUGUUCAAAGCAGGCAAUCGCUUGGAUACAUUAGCAUGGAAUAAUGGAAUAGGACAAUGGUUCUAUUUGUUGGUUUCUAGGACCGUUGUAAUGAUUAAUAGGGAUAGUUGGGGGCAUUAGUAUUCAAUUGUCAGAGGUGAAAUUCUUGGAUUUAUUGAAGACUAACUACUGCGAAAGCAUUUGCCAAGGAUGUUUUCAUUAAUCAAGAACGAAAGUUAGGGGAUCGAAGACGAUCAGAUACCGUCGUAGUCUUAACCAUAAACUAUGCCGACUAGGAAUCAGACGAUGUUAAUUUUUUAAUGACUCGUUUGGCACCUUACGGGAAACCAAAGUGUUUGGGUUC